UAGGGAAUCUUCGGCAAUGGACGAAAGUCUGACCGAGCAACGCCGCGUGAGUGAAGAAGGUUUUCGGAUCGUAAAACUCUGUUGGUAGAGAAGAACGUUGGUGAGAGUGGAAAGCUCAUCAAGUGACGGUAACUACCCAGAAAGGGACGGCUGACUACGUGCCGG
rnacentral:rRNA from 1 species